AGCAGCUCGUGGCGGGUGAUGAUGUCACCCCAAUACCCCAUACACUGACAGUGACCCCGUAUAUUGCGAGAGUGACCCCAUAUAUCGCGAUAUAUCGUGACACGGCAGGCACUCACCGAGGCUCUGUCUCUUGAGGCUGAUGUAGCAGGUUGUGGUGAGUGAUUAUGUCACCCCAAUACCACCCCGUAUAUCGCGACAGUGACUCCAUAUAUCGCGAUAUAUCGCGACCGGCACUCACCGGGGCGCCGUCUCUUAAGGCUGAUGUAGGGCAGCAGGUCGUGGCGGGUGAUGAUGCGCAGCAGCUGCAGCAGCUGCCGCAGGUUGCUCUCGUCGCAGCGGCCCUGGCGCUCCAGGGCCAGCAGGAAGUCGCGGCCCGAGCGGAUGCGGCCGCGCUCGGCCUCGUCCAGCACGUCCACGAAGAGGA